rnacentral:misc_RNA from 1 species
GAUGAAGAACGCAGCGAAAUGCGAUAAGUAAUGUGAAUUGCAGAAUUCAGUGAAUCAUCGAAUCUUUGAACGCACAUUGCGCCCUCUGGUAUUCCGGGGGGCAUGCCUGUUCGAGCGUCAUUUCAACCCUCAAGCCUCGCUUGGUAUUGGGCAACGCGGUCCGCCGCGUGCCUCAAAUCGACCGGCUGGGUCUUCUGUCCCCUAAGCGUUGUGGAAACUAUUCGCUAAAGGGUGUUCGGGAGGCUACGCCGUAAAACAACCCCAUUUCUAAGGUUGACCUCGGAUCAGGUAGGGAUACCCGCUGAACUUAAGCAUAUCAAUAAGCGGAGGA